AAUAGGAGAAUGACAAAUAAGAUUUUUCCUCAUAAUUUUCAACUUUUUUGUCCUAAAAAAAAUUCAAAUCCAAUUAAAAAUGUUAAAAAUCAGGAAGAAAAUUUUGAUUUAUCAUCCUCCUAUU
rnacentral:pre_miRNA from 1 species